ACUUGAUUAGUUUAUUUCUCAAAAUUUUAAAUUGUGGAUUUAAAGAAGACAAAAUCAUCAGGUA
rnacentral:tRNA from 1 species